rnacentral:tRNA from 1 species
GAGGAUUUCCGCGCCAUACGGCGCUAGGCGUUGCCUUCGGGAGGCAGGGGCCGGAGGUUCGAAUCCUCUUUCCCCG